UACAUGGGGUGCAAACGUUGCUCGGAAUUAUUGGGCGUAAAGCGCGCGUAGGCGGUUACUUAUGGCGGAUGUGAAAGCCCUCGGCUUAACUGAGGAAGUGCAUUCGAAACUGGGUAGCUAGAGUACUAAAGAGGGUCGCGGAAUUCCCGGUGUAGAGGUGAAAUUCGUAGAUAUCGGGAGGAACACCGGUGGCGAAGGCGGCGACCUGGGUAGAUACUGACGCUGAGGCGCGAAAGCGUGGGGAGCAAACAGG
rnacentral:rRNA from 1 species